rnacentral:rRNA from 1 species
CAAUAGCGUAUAUUAAAGUUGUUGCGGUUAAAAAGCUCGUAGUUGGAUUUCUGUUGGGAACGACCGGUCCGCCCAUUGGGUGUGUAUCUGGCUUGUUCUCGGCAUCUUCUUGGUGAACGUUGCUGCACUUGACUGUGUGGAGCGCUACCCAGGACUUUUACUUUGAGGAAAUUAGAGUGUUUCAAGCAGGCAUAUGCCUUGAAUACAUUAGCAUGGAAUAAUAAGAUAGGACCUCGGUUCUAUUUUGUUGGUUUCUAGAGCUGAGGUAAUGAUUAAUAGGGAUAGUUGGGGGCAUUCGUAUUUAACUGUCAGAGGUGAAAUUCUUGGAUUUGUUAAAGACGGAUUACUGCGAAAGCAUUUGCCAAGGAUGUUUUCAUUGA